rnacentral:lncRNA from 1 species
GGAAAUGUGACCAGGGAGGCAGAGAUUGGAGUGAUGUCAAAAACCAAGGAAUGCCUGGAAUCACCAAAAGUUUGAAGAAGCAAAGAAAGGAUUCUAUACUAGAACCACUAAUGGAUGCAUGACCCUAUUGAUACCUUGAUUUUGGCCUAAAAAUCAAAACUUAUUUUUGGAUGUCUGGCCCCCAGAACUAUGAGAGAACAAUUUUUGUUGUUUUAUUCCAAGCAGUUGUGGUUAUAGCAGUUCUAAGAAACUCUAAUUCACUUAGUUCAUAGAUUGAUUGAAUCUUUUUUUCCCCCUAAAAUUCAUUAUGUUAAAUUAAUUAUUAACUCAAAUGUGAUGGUAUAUGGAGGUGGGACCUUUGGGAGGUAAUUAGGUUUGGAUGAAGUCAUGAAGAUAGAGCCCAUAUGAUAGAACUAGUGUCUUUGUACGCAAAGGUCAGGUGGCUAUCUACAAACCAGGAAGUGGGCCUUCAUUGGACACCAGAUCUGCUGGCAAUUUGAUCUUAGACUUCCUAGACUCCAGAACUGGGAGAAAUAAAUGUUUUCUAAGCCAUCCAGUCUAUACUAUUUUAUUGUAACAGCUCAAACUGACGGAGACACUUGGAAAUGAAACAAAUGCAAAAAUAAAAUGUAAAUAUAAGAUUAGUCAGCCAUAUAAGAAAAUAUUUUACAGAGAUUGACUACUUUUAAAAAGAAAAUACUGUAUUUAGUGAUGGUGAUAAGAAUGGUAUCAUCAUACAUUGCUGUGAAAGUGAAGAAAAUUUGGCAAGGUGGAACAAAAUUAUGGAGCCAUUAGAAACUAUUUUCGAAGAAUAAGGUAAAAACAUGAUUACCAUAUAAUACUAAGUAAAAACAGGAUUUAAAAUUUCAUUUAUAUUAAGGGGGCUCCCCUAAGUUCUUAAGAUCUCCUUAUAUAUUUUGGAUAUUAAGCUCGUAUCAAAUAUAUGGUUUACAGAUAUUUUUUUCCCAUUCUGUAGGUUGCCUUUCACCCUGUUGGUGUUUUCCUUUAUUGUUCAGAAGAUUUUUAGUUUGGUAUACUCCUAUGUGUCUGUUUUUACUUUUGUUGCCUGUAAUUUUGAUGUCAUAUCCAAGAAGUUAUUGCCAAGCCUAAUAUCAGACUUCUUCCUUAGGUUAUCUUUCAGGAGUUGUAACAGUUUUAGGUCUUAUAUCUUUAAUAUGUUUUGAGUUGAUUAUUCCAUAUGGCAUGAGAUAAGGGUCCAGUUUUAUUUGUUUUCAUGUAGACAUAUUUUGAAAUCAUAGAGUGAUAACUUCAAUUCUAUUCUUCUUUCUUAAGAUUUUUUUUUUAUAUCUGUGGUCAUUUCUGGUUCCAUGUGAAUUUUAGGAUUGUUUUACUAUUCCAAGACUAUGUUGAAUAGAAGUGGCAAGAGUAAGAAUCCUUGCCUUGUUCCUGAUUUUAGAGGAAAAGCUUUCAACUUCUUACUGUUGAGGAUGAUGUUAGAUACGGCUUUUUAUAUAUGGCCUUUAUAAGUUGAGGUAAUUCCCUUUGAUAUCUAUGGUGAGAGUUUUUAUAUGAAAUAGUGUCAAAUUUUAUCAAGUGCUUUUUUUUGCAUCUGUUGAGAUGAUCACAUGAUUUUUAUCGUUCACUCUUAAUAUGGGAUGUCCUUAGUAAUUGAUUUUUGUAUUAUGAGCCAUCUUUGCAUUCCAGGGGUAAAUCCUACUUGGUCAUAGUGUAUGAUCCUUUUAAUGUGCUUUUAAAUUUGGUUUGCUAGUAUGUUGUUGAAGAUAUUUGCAUCUGUGUUCAUUAAGGGAUAUUGGCCAUAAUUUUCUUGUACUGACUUUGUCCCACUUGGUUAUCAGGGUAAUGCUGUCCUCAUAAAUUGAGUUUGGAUGUAUUUGCUCCUCCUCAGUUUUUUGAAAGAGUUUGAGAAGGAUUGGCACUAAUUCUUCUUUAAGUAUUUGGUAGAAUGACACCAAUCAAACCAUCCGGUCCUCGGGUUUUUGUCGUCAGAAGAUUCCUGAUUCCUGAAUUAAUCUCCUUACUCAUUAUUGAUCUGUUUGUAUUUUCUAUUUCUUCUCAUGAUUCAGUUUGUAUGUUUCUAGGAAUUUAUCUACUUCUUCUAAAUUGUCCAAUUUGUUACUCUAUAAUUUGUUUAUAGUAGUCUUUCAUCCUUCGUAUUUUCUUUGGUAUCAGUUGUAAUGUCUCUUUAAUAUCUAUUAUCUAUUAAAUAUUUAUUUAUUUGAGUCUAAUCUCUUGCUUAGUCUAGCAAAAAAAAGUCAAUUUUGUUAAUCUAAAAAUAUUUUGAUUUUUAAAAAUUUUCUGUUCUCUAUUUCCUUUAUUUCUGGUUUAAUGUUUAUUAUUCCCUUCCUUUGCUAAUUUUACACAUAGGGUUGUUGAGCUAAUUCCUUGAGAUAUAAAGUUAGGUUGUUUAUUUGAAAUCUUUUUCUUUAAUGUGGGUGUUCUUUGCUUGUACUGCUUUUGUUGUAUCCAUAAAUCUUGAUAUAUUGUAUUUUCAUUUGUCUCAACAUAUUUUCUCAUUUCUUUUUUGCUUUUUGACCCACUGGUUAUUCAAGAGUGUUCUCUUUAAUUUUCAUGAAUUUGUGGAUUUUCCAGUUUUUCCUUUGCUUUUGGUAUCUAAUAGCAUUGCGUUGUGGUUAGAAAAGAUACUUAUUACGAUUUUAUUCUUAAAUUUGCUAACUUUUGGGGAUCCCUGGGUGGCGCAGCAGUUUGGCGCCUGCCUUUGGCCCAGGGCGCGAUCCUGGAGACCCGGGAUCGAAUCCCACGUCGGGCUCCCGGUGCGUGGAGCCUGCGUCUCCCUCUGCCUGUGUCUCUGCCUCUCUCUCUCUUUCUCUCUGUGUGUGUGACUAUCAUAAAUAAAUAAAAAUUUAAAAAAUAAUAAAAAUAAAAAAAAAA